rnacentral:miRNA from 1 species
CAAUGUUUCUUCAGUGCAGUA